rnacentral:lncRNA from 1 species
GGGGCACUCAACUUUAGGCAACUAAGGGAAGGCAGAAGAAAUGAGUUGCAACAUAAUUGUUUGGUUUGAGCAAAGAAAGAGAAAUACUUUUCUUUAUUUUAUUUGAGAUAGUCAUAUUCUUACUCUUGUACUUCCUCUCUUGAAGAUGAUAUUUUAUUCGUCUCUUAGUUAUACAUGCAAUAAUUAUUCCAUAAUGAUAGUGGUAUCAAAUUGGCGUAUUACUUUAUACACGAAUAAAAAAAAUAAAAUCCAAGAACCGAGGGAGACUUGUAUUGGAGGCCACAUAUAUUCCCCAUUAACGCACCGCCUCGUUUCUUGUUGCUUUUCUAUCAGCCUUUUUGUUUUCCUCCAAAUCCACAAAGCUAUACUAUUGAUUUGAUAUACUCUAAAUUAAAUCAGAGAAUAAUCAAAUUUCAUAAAAAAGAGAACAUUCUAUUAGAAUUUUCAGAUCAGGAUUGUUUGAUUCAGUCUUAAAAGCAUAAUGUCCUGCUCAUCAUUGUCGUCGACCUCGGAGGAUGGAGAUGAGGGAUUCGAUUCUUAUCGGAAAGGAGGAUACCGCUCCCAUGCGGUGAGAGUUGGCGAUUCAUUCUCUGGUGGCAGAUAUAUCGCUCAGCAAAAACUCGGCUGGGAAGAGUUCUGCACUGUUUGCUCGCUUUUGGAGAUUUAUUAUUCAAAAAUUUAAAUUUACCAUUGAAGGACCUUGAAGCUUGAAAUUUAUAUGUUGAUUUUUUUGAGUUUUUAAUUAUUUUGAUUAUGAGUUUGUUUGGAAAGUUGAUUGGAGGUUGUAGCUAAAGUUUUAGUCAAUUUGGUGAAGAUUUUGUAGUAGAAUUUAGAAAUUUGGAUUGAAAUAUAGUUGAACCACAUAAGAAGACGAAUUUGUAUUAUAUACUCAAAUAUACAAAUAUACCAUUUUAGUAUAUAAUUCAUUCCAACUAUAUAUCCUAUUAGUAUAUCUAUAUACUAUAUUGGUAUCAUAUGAUAGUUGAAUCAUGUUUUGGUUGUAUUAGCUGCAAUAAAUUGGUACAAUACUUGAUUUUCUUCUAAUCAUCU